CCUACGGGAGGCAGCAGUGGGGAAUAUUGGACAAUGGGCGAAAGCCUGAUCCAGCCAUGCCGCGUGUGUGAAGAAGACCUUCGGGUUGUAAAGCACUUUCAGUGGGGAAGAAAGCCUUGGGGCUAAUACCCUCGAGGAAGGACAUCACCCACAGAAGAAGCACCGGCUAACUCCGUGCCAGCAGCCGCGGUAAUACGGAGGGUGCGAGCGUUAAUCGGAAUUACUGGGCGUAAAGCGCGCGUAGGCGGUCUGAUAAGCCGGUUGUGAAAGCCCCGGGCUCAACCUGGGAACGGCAUCCGGAACUGUCAGGCUAGAGUGCAGGAGAGGAAGGUAGAAUUCCCGGGGUAGCGGUGAAAUGCGUAGAGAUCGGGAGGAAUACCAGUGGCGAAGGCGGCCUUCUGGACUGACACUGACGCUGAGGUGCGAAAGCGUGGGUAGCAAACAGGAUUAGAUACCCCAGUAGUC
rnacentral:rRNA from 1 species